rnacentral:tRNA from 2 species
UCCCGGGUCGUCUAACGGCAGGACAAUAGGUUCUGGACCUAUCAAUCUUGGUUCGAAUCCAAGCCUGGGAA